rnacentral:rRNA from 1 species
CAGUAGCCGCGGGAAUAUGUAGGUGGCAAGCGUUGUCCGGAAUUAUUGGGCGUAAAGGGCUCGCAGGCGGUUUCUUAAGUCUGAUGUGAAAGCCCCCGGCUCAACCGGGGAGGGUCAUUGGAAACUGGGAAACUUGAGUGCAGAAGAGGAGAGUGGAAUCCCACGUGCAGCGGUGAAAUGCGUAGAGAUGUGGAGGAACACCAGUGGCGAAGGCGACUCUCUGGUCUGUAACUGACGCUGAGGAGCGAAAGCGUGGGGAGCGAACAGGAUUAGAUACCCCAGUAGUCCCUGUCUCUUAUAC